rnacentral:rRNA from 1 species
AGAAUCAACGCUGGCGGCGUGCCUAACACAUGCAAGUCGAACGAGAAAGUGGAGCAAUCCAUGAGUAAAGUGGCGCACGGGUGAGUAACACGUGACUAACCUACCCUUGAGUGGGGGAUAACCUAGAGAAAUCUGGGCUAAUACCGCACAAUACCUUCGGGUCAAAGGAGCAAUUCGCUUAAGGAGGGGGUCGCGGCCGAUUAGUUAGUUGGCGGGGUAAUGGCCCACCAAGACUAUGAUCGGUAUCCGGCCUGAGAGGGCGCACGGACACACUGGAACUGAAACACGGUCCAGACUCCUACGGGAGGCAGCAGUGGGGAAUUUUGCGCAAUGGGGGAAACCCUGACGCAGCAACGCCGCGUGGAGGAUGAAGUCCCUUGGGACGUAAACUCCUUUCGAUCGGGACGAUAAUGACGGUACCGAGAGAAGAAGCCCCGGCUAACUUCGCGCCAGCAGCCGC